rnacentral:lncRNA from 1 species
GUUGCGAUAAAAGCUGUUAUGCGAAAUCGGGCACCGGUUGUAACAUGGGUGAUUGACUUGAAACUUUUUGCAAUAGAAGCUGUUAUGCCAAAACCAGGCAGCGGAUGAAACAUGGGUGAUAGACUUGGAAGUUUUUGCGAUAGAAGCUAAUAUGCCGAAACCGGGCACCGGAUGUAACAUGGGUGAUAGACUUAGCAGUUUUUGCGAUAAAAGUUGUUAUGCCGAAAUCGAGCACCGGAUGUAACAUGGGUGAUAGAGUUGGCAAUUUAUCGGAUGGAAGCUGUUAUGACGAAAUCGGGCAUCGGUUGUAACAUGGGUGAUAGACUUUUUAGUUUUUGCGAUAUAAGCUGUUUUGCCAAAAUCAAGCACCGGAUAUAACAUGCGUGACAGACUUGCAGUUUUUGCGAUAGAAGGUGUGAUGCCGAAAUCAGGUAUCGGUUGUAACAUGGGUGAUAGACUUGACAGUUUUUGGGAUUGAAGCGGUUAUGCCGAAAUCGGGCACUGGUUAUAACAUGGGUGAUUGACUUGGUAGUUUUUGUGAUAUGAGCCGUUAUGCCGAAAUCGGGUAUCGGUUGUAACAUGGGUGAUAGGCUUGGCAGUUUUUAGGAUGGAAUCUAUUAUGCCAAAAUUAGGAACCGAUUGUAACAUGGGUGAUAGACUUGGCAGUUUUCGCGAUAGAAGCUGUUAUGCCGAAAUCGGGCUCCAGUUAUAACAUAGGUGAUAGACGUGGCAGUGUUUGAGAUAGAAGCUGUUAUGCUGAAAUCGGGCAACGGAUGUAACAUUAGUGAUAGACUUUGAUGUUUUUGGGAUGGAAGCCGUUAUGCCGAAAUCGGACACCGGUUGUAACACUAGUGAUAGAUUUGGCAGUUUUUGCGAUAAAAGCUGUUAUGCCGAAAUCCAACACCGGAUGUAACAUGGGUGAUAGACUUGGAAGUUUUUUUGUUAUAAAAGCUGUUAUGCCUAAAUCGGGCACCGGAUGUACCAUGGGUGAUAUAAUUGGCAGUUUUUGGAAUAGUUGUUAUGCCGAAAUCGGGCACCAAAUGUAACAUGGGUGAUAAAGUUGGCAGUUUUUGCUAUAGAAGCUGUUAUGCCCAAAUCGGGCACCAAUUGUAACAUGGGUCAUAAACUUGGCAGUUUUUGGGAUGAAAGUUGUUAUGCCAAAAUCGGACAACGGUUGUAACGUGGGUGAUAGACUUUGGAAUUUUUGCGAAGGAAGGUGUUUUGCCGAAAUCGGGCACCAGUUGUAACAUGGGUGGUGGACUUGGCAGAUUUUGGCAGGGACGUUGUUAUGCUGAAAUCGAGCACCGAUUGUAACAUGGGUGAUAGACUUGGCAGAUUUUGCGACAAAACUUGUUAUAUCGAAAUCGGGCACCGAUUGUAACAUGAAUGCUAAACUUGGGGGUUUUUGGGGUGGAAGCUGUUAUGCCGAAUUCAGGCACCGAUUGUAACAUGGGUAAACGACUUGGCAGUUUUUGCGAUACAAGCCGUUAUGCCAAAAUCGGGCACCGGUCAUAACAUAAGUGAUAGACUUGUCAGUUUUUGUGAGGGAAGCUGUUAUGCCGAUAUCAGGCACCGGUUGUAACAUGGGUGAUAGGCUUGGCAGAUUUUGCGACGGAAGCUAUUAUGCCGAAAUCGGGUACCGACUUUAACAUGGGUGAUAGAAUUUGCAGUUUUUGCGACGGAAUUGGUUUUGCCGAUAUCGGGCAUCAUGGGUAGCAUGGGUGAUAGAGUGGGCAAUUUUUGGCAUUGCAGCUGCUGUGCCGAAAUCGAGUACCGGUUGUAACAUGGGUGAUAGACUUGGUAGUUUUUGCGAUAGAAGCUGUUAGGCCGAAAUCGGGCACCGGAUGUAACGUGGGUAAUAGACUUGGCAGUUUUCGGGAUGGAAACUGUUAUGCCGAUAUCGGGCAUAGGUUGUAACAUGGGUGAUAGAAUUGACAGUUUUUGCGAUAGAAGCUGUUAUACCGAAUUCUGGCACCGGUUGUAACAUGGGUGACAGACUUGGCAGUCAUUGUGAUAGAAGCCGUUAUGCUGCAAUCGGGCACCGACUGUAACAUAUGUGGUAGACUUGUCAGUUUUUGUGGGGAAGCUGUUACGCCAAAAUCUGGUACCGGUUGUAACAUGGGUUAUAGACUUGACAGAUACUGCGACGGAAGCUGUUAUGCUAAAAUUGGGCACCGGCUGUAACAUGAGUGAUAGACUUGGCAGUUUUUGCAAUGAAACUGGUUUUGUCGAUAUCAGGCAUCGGGGGUAGCAUGGCUGAUAGACUUAGUAGUUUUUGGGAUGGAAGUUGUUAUACCGAAAUCGGGUACCGGUUGUAUCAUGGGUGAUAGACUUGACAGUUUUUGCGAUAGAUGCUGUUAUGCUGAAAUCGGGCACCGGUUGUAACAUAGGUCAUGAACUUGGCAGUUUUUGGGAUGAAAGCUGUUAUGCCGAAAUCGGGCAGCAGUUGUAACAUGGGUGAUAGACUUGGCAGUUUUUGCGAACGAAGGUGUUAUGCCCAAAUCGGGCACCGGUUGUAACAUGGCUAAUAGAUUUGAGAGAUUUUAUGAAGAAAACUGUUACGCCGAAAUCGGGCACCGAUUGAAACAUGCGUAUUGACUUGGCAGUUUUUGCGAUAGAAGCUGUUAUGCCGAAAUCGAGCACCUGUUGUAACAUGGGUGAUGGACUUGGCAGAUUUUGGCAAGGAAGUUGUUAUGCUAAAAUCGGACACAGGUUGCAACAUGGGUGAUAGACUUGGCACAUUUUGCGAUGAAAGUUGUUAUGUCGAAAUCGGGCACCGAUUGUAACAUGAGCGAUAGACUUAGGGGUUUUUGGGACAGAAGCUGUUAUGCCGAAUUCCGGCACAGGUUGUAACAUGGGUGAUAGACUUGGUUGUUUUUGCGAUAGAAGCUAUUAUGCCAAAGUCGGGCACCGGUUGUAACAUGGGUAAUAGGCUUGGCAGAUUUUGCGACGAAAGCUGUUAUGCCAAAAUCGGGCACCGGCUAUUACAUGAGUGAUAGACAUGGCAGAUUUUGGCAGGGACAUUGUUAUGCUGAAAUCGAGCACCGGUUGUAACCUGGGUGAUAGACUUGGCAGAUUUUUCGAUGAAAGUUGUUAUGACGAAAUCGGACACCGAUUGUAACAUGAGUGAUAGACUUAGGGGUUUUUGGGACAGAAGCUGUUAUACCGAAUUCCGGCACCGGUUGUAACAUGGGUGAUAGACUAGCAAGGAAGCUGUUAUACUAAAAUCGGGCACAGGUUGUAACAUGGGUGAUAGACUUGGCAGAUUUUGCGACGAAACCUGUUAUGCGGAAAUCGGGCACCGAUUGUAACAUGAGUGACAGACUUAAGGAUUUUUGGGAUGGAAGCUGUUAUGCCGAAUUUCGGCACCGGUUGUAACAUGGGUGAUAAACUUGGCAAUUUUUGCAAUAGAAGCUGUUAUGCCAAAGUCGGGCACAGGUUGUAACAUGAGUAAUAAUCUUGGCAGAUUUUGCGACAGAAGUUGUUAUGCCGAAAUCGGGCACCGGCUAUAACAUGGGUGAUAGACUUGGCAGUUUUUGCGAAGGAAGGUGUUAUGCCGAAAUCGGGUACCAGUUGUGACAUGGGUGAUGGAUUUGGCAGAUUUUGGCAGGGACGUUGUUAUGCUGAAAUCGAGCACCGGUUGUAACCUGGGUGAUAGACUUGGCAGAUUUUUCGACGAAAGCUGUUAUGCCGAAAUCGGGCACCGAUUGUAAUAUGAGUCGACUUAGGGGUUUUUGGGACAGAAGUUGUUAUACCGAAUUCCGGCACAGGUUGUAACAUAAGUGAUAGACUGACAAGGAAGCUGUUAUGCUAAAAUCGGACACAGGUUGUAACAUGGGUGAUAGACUUGGCAGAUUUUGCGACGAAAGUUGUUAUGCCGAUAUCGGGCACCGAUUGUAACAUGAGUGACAGACUUAAGGGUUUUUGGGACGGAAGCCGUUAUGUCAAAUUUUGGCACCGGUUGUAACAUGGGUGAUAAUCUUGGCAGAUUUUGCGACAGAAGCUGUUAUGCCGAAAUCGGGCACCGGCUAUAACAUGGGUGAUAGACUUGACAGUUUUUGCAAAGGAAGGUGUUAUGCCGAAAUCGGACACCAGAUAUGACAUGGGUGAUGGACUUGGCAGAUUUUGGCAGGGACGUUGUUAGGCUGAAAUCGAGCACCGGUUGUAACCUGGGUGAUAGACUUGGCAGAUUUUUCGACGAAAACUGUUAUGCCGAAAUCGGGCACCGAUUGUAACAUGAGUGAUAGACUUAGGGGUUUUUGGGACAGAAGUUGUUAUACCGAAUUCCGGCACCGGUUGUAACAUGGGUGAUAGACGGGCAAGGAAGCUGUUAUGCUAAAAUCGGACACAGGUUGUAACAUGGGUGAUAGACUUGGCAGAUUUUGCGACGAAAGUUGUUAUGCCGAAAUCGGGCACCAAUUGUAACAUGAGUGACAGACUUAAGGGUUUUUGGGACGAAAGCUGUUAUGCCGAAUUUCGGCACCGGUUGUAACAUGGGUGAUAAACUUGGCAGUUUUUGCGAUAGAAGCUGUUAUGCCAAAGUCGGGCACCGAUUGUAACAUGAGUAAUAAUCUUGGCAGAUUUUGCGACAGAAGCUGUUAUGCCGAAAUCGGGCACCGGCUAUAACAUGGGUGAUAGACUUGGCAGUUUUUGCGAAGGAAGGUGUUAUGCCGAAAUCGGGCACCAGUUGUGACAUGGGUGAUGGACUUGGCAGAUUUUGGCAGGGACGUUGUUAUGCUGAAAUCGAGCACCGGUUGUAACCUGGGUGAUAGACUUGACAGAUUUUUCGACAAAAGCUGUUAUGCCGAAAUCGGGCACCGAUUCUAACAUGAGUGAUAGACUUAGGGGUUUUUGGGACAGAAGCUGUUAUACCGAAUUCUGGCACCGAUUGUAACAUGGUUGAUAGACUUGGCAGUUUUUGCGAUAGAAGCAGUUAUGCCGAAAUCGGGCACCGAUUGUAACAUGGGUGAUAGGCUUGGCAGAUUUUGUGACAGAAGCUGUUAUGCCGAAAUUGGGCACCGGCUGUAACAU